UCUACCUGGUGAUCCGGGAUAACACUUCGAAAGGGGUGCUAAUACCUGAUAAGCCCACGGAGUCCUUGGACUCUGCGGGAAAAGGGGGGGACCUUCGGGCCUUCCGUCAUCAGAUGAGUCUGCGUACCAUUAGCUAGUUGGUAGGGUAAAGGCCUACCAAGGCGACGAUGGUUAGCUGGUCUGAGAGGAUGAUCAGCCACACUGGAACUGAGACACGGUCCAGACUCCUACGGGAGGCAGCAGUGGGGAAUUUUGCGCAAUGGGGGAAACCCUGACGCAGCAACGCCGCGUGAGUGAUGAAGGCCCUUGGGUCGUAAAGCUCUGACAGAGGGAAAGAAAUGCAGGGGAGCUAAUAUCUUUCUUGCUUGACGGUACCCUCAAAGGAAGCACCGGCUAACUCCGUGCCAGCAGCCGCGGUAAUACGGGGGGUGCAAGCGUUGUUCGGAUUUAUUGGGCGUAAAGCGCGUGUAGGCGGUUUUAUAAGUCUGAUGUGAAAGCCCUGGGCUCAACCCGGGAAGUGCAUUGGAUACUGUAAGACUUGAAUACGGGAGAGGGUAGUGGAAUUCCUAGUGUAGGAGUGAAAUCCGUAGAUAUUAGGAGGAACACCGGUGGCGAAGGCGGCUACCUGGACCGAUAUUGACGCUGAGACGCGAAAGCGUGGGUAGCAAACAGGAUUAGAUA
rnacentral:rRNA from 1 species